UUCGCCAUGCUUUCACAUCUGAGGUAGCUAUGCAAAACCUAAUUACUCUUUAAUUCGUAAAAUUGGAAAUUGAAAGCCUUUUUCAUUUGCUUCCGUUUUGUAUGCGUUUGAACUAUGCUCAUCUGAUUAAUGCUAUGCGAAACCUAAUUUUCUCAUGCCUGGUUAAUGCUUAGCUUGUGAAAACCCUAACUUUGGUGCCUAUAAUUGGAAAUAAAGUGGAUUGUUUGUCUAAUUCACUAUAUAUAUACAUAUAUAUACAUACGCACACACUGUUAUAUGUAUGUAUACACACACACACACA
rnacentral:misc_RNA from 1 species